CUUCUUUUGGCAGCACAUACACUAAAAUUGUAACAGUAGAGAGAUGAUUAGUGUGACCCCUGUGAAAGGAUGACAUACAAGUUCGUGAAAUGUUCCAUAUUUUU
rnacentral:snRNA from 1 species